rnacentral:rRNA from 1 species
GACGAACGCUGGCGGCGUGCUUAACACAUGCAAGUCGAGCGGAGCGGCGGACGGGUGAGUAACGCGUGAGUAACUGCCCCCCUCUCUGGGAUAACAGUUGGAAACGGCUGCUCAUACCGGAUAGUGGGGGAUGACUCGGGUCCUAUCAGCUUGUGGGUGGGGGAGUGGCUUACCAAGGCGACGACGGGUAGCCGGCCUGGGAGGGCGAACGGCCACAAUGGGCUGAGAGACGGCCCAAACUCGUACGGGAGGCAGCAGUGGGGAAUAUUGCACAAUGGGGGAAACCAUGAUGCAGCAACGCCGCGUGCGUGAUGACGGCCUUCGGGUGGUAAACCGCUUUCAGACAUGACGCGGUAGUGGCAGAAGAAGCACCGGCUAACUACGUGCCAGCAGCCGCGGUAAUAC